rnacentral:rRNA from 1 species
CCUACGGGCGGCAGCAGUGGGGAAUAUUGGACAAUGGGGGGAACCCUGAUCCAGCCAUGCCGCGUGUGUGAAGAAGGCCCUCGGGUUGUAAAGCACUUUCAGUGAGGAAGAACGCCUGGUGGUUAAUACCCAUCAGGAAAGACAUCACUCACAGAAGAAGCACCGGCUAACUCCGUGCCAGCAGCCGCGGUAAUACGGAGGGUGCGAGCGUUAAUCGGAAUUACUGGGCGUAAAGCGCGCGUAGGUGGCUUGAUAAGCCGGUUGUGAAAGCCCCGGGCUCAACCUGGGAACGGCAUCCGGAACUGUCAAGCUAGAGUGCAGGAGAGGAAGGUAGAAUUCCCGGCGUAGCGGUGAAAUGCGUAGAGAUCGGGAGGAAUACCAGUGGCGAAGGCGGCCUUCUGGACCGACACUGACACUGAGGUGCGAAAGCGUGGGUAGCAAACAGGAUUAGAUACCCCAGUAGUC